rnacentral:rRNA from 1 species
AGGAUGAACGCUGGCGGUCUGCUUAACACAUGCAAGUCGAACGGAGUAGAAAUACUUAGUGGCGGACGGGUGAGUAACGCGUGAGAAUCUACCUUCAGGACGGAGACAACAGUUGGAAACGACUGCUAACCCCCGAUGUACUGAAAAGGCAAAUAUUUAUAGCCUGAAGAAGAGCUCGCGUCCGAUUAGCUAGUUGGAGAGGUAAAAGCUCACCAAGGCGACGAUCGGUAGCUGGUCUGAGAGGACGAUCAGCCACACUGGGACUGAGACACGGCCCAGACUCCUACGGGAGGCAGCAGUGGGGAAUUUUCCGCAAUGGGCGAAAGCCUGACGGAGCAAGACCGCGUGGGGGAAGAAGGCUCUUGGGUUGUAAACCCCCUUUUCUCUGGGAAGAACGCAAUGACGGUACCAGAGGAAUCAGCAUCGGCUAACUCCGUGCCAGCAGCCGC